rnacentral:rRNA from 1 species
GAUGAACGCUGGCGGCGUGCCUAAUACAUGCAAGUCGAGCGAACGGACGAGAAGCUUGCUUCGCUGAUGUUAGCGGCGGACGGGUGAGUAACACGUGGAUAACCGACCUAUAAGACUGGGAUAACUUCGGGAAACCGGAGCUAAUACCGGAUAAUAUUUUGAACCGCAUGGUUCAAAAGUGAAAGACGGUCUUGCUGUCACUUAUAGAUGGAUCCGAGCUGCAUUAGCUAGUUGGUAAGGUAACGGCCUACCAAGGCAACGAUGCAUAGCCGACCUGAGAGGGUGAUCGGCCACACUGGAACUGAGACACGGUCCAGACUCCUACGGGAGGCAGCAGUAGGGAAUCUUCCGCAAUGGGCGAAAGCCUGACGGAGCAACGCCGCGUGAGUGAUGAAGGUCUUCGGAUCGUAAAACUCUGUUAUUAGGGAAGAACAUAUGUGUAAGUAACUGUGCACAUCUUGACGGUACCUACUCAGAAAGCCACGGCUAACUACGUG